AUUGAACGCUGGCGGCAUGCUUUACACAUGCAAGUCGAACGGUAACAGGCCGCAAGGUGCUGACGAGUGGCGAACGGGUGAGUAAUGCAUCGGAACGUGCCCAGUCGUGGGGGAUAACGCAGCGAAAGCUGUGCUAAUACCGCAUACGAUCUGGGGGUGAAAGCGGGGGACCGAAAGGCCUCGCGCGAUUGGAGCGGCCGAUGUCAGAUUAGGUAGUUGGUGGGGUAAAGGCUCACCAAGCCAACGAUCUGUAGCUGGUCUGAGAGGACGACCAGCCACACUGGGACUGAGACACGGCCCAGACUCCUACGGGAGGCAGCAGUGGGGAAUUUUGGACAAUGGGCGCAAGCCUGAUCCAGCAAUGCCGCGUGCAGGAAGAAGGCCUUCGGGUUGUAAACUGCUUUUGUAUGGAACGAAAAGGCUCUGGUUAAUACCUGGGGCUCAUGACGGUACCGUAAGAAUAAGCACCGGCUAACUACGUGCCAGCCGCCGCGGUAAAAC
rnacentral:rRNA from 1 species